GACGAACGCUGGCGGCGUGCCUAACACAUGCAAGUCGAACGAGGUCCAUCCUUCGGGAGAAGACCUAGUGGCGAACGGGUGAGUAACACGUGAGAAACCUGCCCCGAAGACCGGGAUAACCCUCCGAAAGGAGAGCUAAUACCGGAUGCCCCCACCGAGCCGCAUGGCCUGGUGAGGAAAUGGAUUCCGCUUCGGGAGGGUCUCGCGGCCUAUCAGCUAGUUGGUGGGGUAACGGCCCACCAAGGCAUCGACGGGUAGCUGGUCUGAGAGGACGAUCAGCCACACUGGGACUGAGACACGGCCCAGACUCCUACGGGAGGCAGCAGUGGGGAAUCUUGCGCAAUGGGCGAAAGCCUGACGCAGCAACGCCGCGUGGGGGAUGAAGGCUCUCGGGCUGUAAACCCCUUUCAGCAGGGACGAAAUCAGACGGUACCUGCAGAAGAAGCUCCGGCUAACUACGUGCCAGCAGCCGCGGUAAU
rnacentral:rRNA from 1 species